rnacentral:lncRNA from 1 species
GCCACUUAUAUACAUAUUGCAGAUCUUUCUCUCACAAAAUUCAAAAAAAAAAUAUAAGAGAAAAGGAAUGUAAACACCACAGUUUCUUCCGGGGGGGAAACUUGACUUCCUUGUCAUGUUCAUGAAAACACCACCUUCCAUCCAUAUCUCCUUCUCAUAUUGAUUCUCCAAAAAAGCAUUCAUCACCUUUUUCACCAAGCAAAAUUUUCAUUCUUCAAAUCACCAACUUUUUCUCAUAUUGAUUCUCCAAAAAAGCAUUCAUCACCUUUUUCACCAAGCAAAAUUUUCAUUCUUCAAAUCACCAACUUAAUACAAACCCACACAAAACUCUUUCAUUUUCAUGUUCUAAUCUUAUUUUCAUUCAUUCACAUAACUAUUUCUUUUUCAUUCUAACAUAUUAACUUCAACAAUACAAAAUCAUUAAUACACACACAUCCUUCUCUCUAUCUCUCACUUUCAAAAAGAGUGAAAAAUUUAGGAAAAAAAAGAGAUAAGUUUCAUUAAGUGAAGGAAAUGCUUUCUCAAGAGUUUCCCAUCUUAAAAUACAAUCAUUUUAGUUUCGCUACGCUGCCGCAGACAACAAC